rnacentral:ncRNA from 1 species
UAUAUUUGCCGAUCGUUAAUAUAAGCUUAUACAUAAAAAUCAUUAAAAUUAAUAUUGGCAUG